AGGGCAUUUAUCCGGAUAUUGUGCAUGUGCUGCCCAAAGACGUCGGCGAGGGCGCGACUGGGGAACCGACCGGUGAAGCAUCAGUUGGGCACGUGCCGACGCAGACGUCACCAAUGACGUCAUCAGUCGGCUUAGUCUGCGACUCGGCCGAAACUUAUAGACCGUCUGGUGCGCCGGCCGCGACACAGCUGGACCAGCCGACGAUCGUGUUGUCUCCGCCGAGCCGUCGGCACACACCCCCGGAGCAGGCCGUGGGCAGGUGACACCGGGCCGGCCGGCCGGUCACCAGCGACAUCACCUGUGACCUGGCGCUGCUGACGCCGACGGUGACGCCGCGCCGCGCCGGCCGCCGACCCUCCACACCGGCCACGGAUAGACGAGGCCCUCUGCUCAGCCGGCGGGAUGGCCCGGGGCGGGGUCAGACGCGACCCCCGCGACCCCCGCGACCCGGCGUGACCUCAGCGGAGCGGGGGGAGCGGCGCCGGCAGCGCCUGGGUCUUCGGGCCGGCUGGGAGGGGCACGGCACCGCCUGCGGGGACCGGCUGACCGCACACAUAGUCACACACAUCACAUCGGCCUGAGACGGGUCACCGGACUCAUCACAUCGACCUAGGACGGGUCAAGAGAUACAUUGCCUCGGCCUAGACGGGCCAC